UACGUAGGGUGCAAGCGUUGUCCGGAAUUAUUGGGCGUAAAGAGCUCGUAGGCGGUUUGUCGCGUCUGCUGUGAAAACGCGGGGCUCAACUCCGCGCCUGCAGUGGGUACGGGCAGACUAGAGUGCAGUAGGGGAGACUGGAAUUCCUGGUGUAGCGGUGGAAUGCGCAGAUAUCAGGAGGAACACCGGUGGCGAAGGCGGGUCUCUGGGCUGUAACUGACGCUGAGGAGCGAAAGCCGUGGGUAGCGAACAGG
rnacentral:rRNA from 1 species